rnacentral:rRNA from 1 species
AGCGAACGCUGGCGGCAGGCCUAACACAUGCAAGUCGAACGAACCUUUCGGGGUUAGUGGCGGACGGGUGAGUAACACGUGGGAACGUGCCUUUAGGUUCGGAAUAACUCAGGGAAACUUGUGCUAAUACCGAAUGUGCCCUUCGGGGGAAAGAUUUAUCGCCUUUAGAGCGGCCCGCGUCUGAUUAGCUAGUUGGUUGAGGUAAUGGCUCACCAAGGCGACGAUCAGUAGCUGGUCUGAGAGGAUGAUCAGCCACAUUGGGACUGAGACACGGCCCAAACUCCUACGGGAGGCAGCAGUGGGGAAUCUUGCGCAAUGGGCGAAAGCCUGACGCAGCCAUGCCGCGUGAAUGAUGAAGGUCUUAGGAUUGUAAAAUUCUUUCACCGGGGACGAUAAUGACGGUACCCGGAGAAGAAGCCCCGGCUAACAUCGUG